ensembl:lncRNA TTC28-AS1 TTC28 antisense RNA 1
AAGCUCGACGCGCGCACUCUUGUCUGCUUACGAGGGCUCCUCCCUUCAGCUUUGGUCCCUCGGGGCGUCUGGGCAGCCUACGCUUUCCGACUAUGGAAAUGAUAUUAGACAAAAAGCAACUUCAAGUGGUUUUCUUAUUUGAGUUCAAAAUGGGUCAUAACGCAGCAGAGAUAACUUGAAACAUGAACAGCGCAUUUGGCCCAGGAACUACUAACGAACAUACAGGGCAGCUGUGAUUCAAGAAGUUUUGCAAAGCAGACUAGAGCCUUGAAUAUGAGGAACACAGUGGCCAGCCAUUGGAUGCUUCACUUCUUGAAGCAUCUUGACAGCUUUUUGCAGGUGAAAUGCUUCCACACCAGCAGGAUGCAGAAAAAUGCUUUCCAAGAGUUUGUUGAAUCCAGAAGCAUGGAUGUUUAUGCUGCAGGAAUAAACAAAUUUAUUUCUCGUUGGCAAAAAAGUGUUGAUUGUAAUGGUUCCUAUUUUGAUUAAUAAAGAUGUGUUUGAGCCUAGUUAUAAUGAUUUAAAAUUAAUGGUCCAAAAAUGCAAUUACUUUUGCACCACCACCAACACACACACACACCUACACAUUCUGGAUUUGAAUUCCAUGUUGAUUAUAUGCACUUGGAAUAUUUCUUUUCCAUCUGUGGAUUGUUCUGUCACUUAUUUUCUUUAAUAAAUGGGUUUCUGAACCUCUGUUGUAUUGACA